rnacentral:rRNA from 1 species
CAGCAGCCACGGUAAAACAGAGGGUGCAAGCGUUAAUCGGAAUUACUGGGCGUAAAGCGCGCGUAGGUGGUUCGCCAAGUUGGAUGUGAAAUCCCCGGGCUCAACCUGGGAACUGCAUCCAAAACUGGCGAGCUAGAGUAUGGUAGAGGGUGGUGGAAUUUCCUGUGUAGCGGUGAAAUGCGUAGAUAUAGGAAGGAACAUCAGUGGCGAAGGCGACCACCUGGACUGAUACUGACACUGAGGUGCGAAAGCGUGGGGAGCAAACAGGAUUAGAUACCCCAGUAGUCCCUGUCUCUUAUAC